GAUGAACGCUGGCGGCGUGCCUAAUACAUGCAAGUCGAGCGAACAGACGAGGAGCUUGCUCCUCUGACGUUAGCGGCGGACGGGUGAGUAACACGUGGAUAACCUACCUAUAAGACUGGGAUAACUUCGGGAAACCGGAGCUAAUACCGGAUAACAUGUUGAACCGCAUGGUUCAACAGUGCAAGACGGUCUUGCUGUCACUUAUAGAUGGAUCCGCGCCGCAUUAGCUAGUUGGUAAGGUAACGGCUUACCAAGGCAACGAUGCGUAGCCGACCUGAGAGGGUGAUCGGCCACACUGGAACUGAGACACGGUCCAGACUCCUACGGGAGGCAGCAGUAGGGAAUCUUCCGCAAUGGGCGAAAGCCUGACGGAGCAACGCCGCGUGAGUGAUGAAGGUCUUCGGAUCGUAAAACUCUGUUAUUAGGGAAGAACAAAUGUGUAAGUAACUCUGCACGUCUUGACGGUACCUAAUCAGAAAGCCACGGCUAACUACGUG
rnacentral:rRNA from 1 species